GCCCCCGUAGCUCAUCUGGAUAGAGCACAGGUUUCCUAAACCUGGUGUGGCAAGUUCGAGCCUUGCCGGGGGCA
rnacentral:tRNA from 2 species